AGUCGAACGAUGAAGCCCUUCGGGGUGGAUUAGUGGCGAACGGGUGAGUAACACGUGGGCAAUCUGCCCUGCACUCUGGGACAAGCCCUGGAAACGGGGUCUAAUACCGGAUACGAGCCUCCCGGGCAUCUGGGAGGUUGGAAAGCUCCGGCGGUGCAGGAUGAGCCCGCGGCCUAUCAGCUUGUUGGUGAGGUAACGGCUCACCAAGGCGACGACGGGUAGCCGGCCUGAGAGGGCGACCGGCCACACUGGGACUGAGACACGGCCCAGACUCCUACGGGAGGCAGCAGUGGGGAAUAUUGCACAAUGGGCGAAAGCCUGAUGCAGCGACGCCGCGUGAGGGAUGACGGCCUUCGGGUUGUAAACCUCUUUCAGCAGGGAAGAAGCGAAAGUGACGGUACCUGCAGAAGAAGCGCCGGCUAACUACGUGCCAGCAGCCGCGCGUAAUUCAAAG
rnacentral:rRNA from 1 species